AUAUAUAUUAGAGAUAAUAUAUAGUACCGACUCUGUCGGAUAAAGUUCUAGAUAGAAUAAUGAUAAUGACAAUUUUCUAUCUAUAUGUCUUGACCAAAUCUUGUGCCAGCAGUCGCGGCAACACAAGGGAGACUAGUGUUAUUCAUCUUUAUUAGGUUUAAAGGGUACCUAGACGGUAUAUCAAGCCCCAAAAGGGAACUGAUAUACUAGAGUUUUAUGUGAGAGGCAAAUAUAGUACUAUUGGUGUAGAGAUAAAAUUCAUUGAUACCUCUAGGCACGGGUAACGGCGAAGGCAAUCCUCUAUGUAAAAACUGACGUUGAGGGACGAAGGCUUGGGGAGCGAAUAGGAUUAGAUACCCUAGUAGUCCAGGCAGACAAUUAUGAAUGUCAUAGAUUAGAAAUAUUUUUUUGAUCUAUAAAUGAAAGUGUAAGCAUUCCACCUCAAGAGUAAUGUGGCAACGCAGGAACUGAAAUCAUUAGACCGUUUCUGAAACCAGUAGUGAAGUAUGUGUGCGACAAGAAGCAGAUAUUAGUAAUGUGGUGCGAUUCCACUAGGUGUUCUCUACCUAACACUACCUACACAUGCAGGAUAGUAAUUGAAUGUGUGAAGCUGUAGGAACAAUGUAGCCUGUCUUAGAUGACAAUGUAGAUAUAUUAUAAAAAGUAUAAUUAUAUCUCCAGGAGCUAGUGUAAGUAAGACAUGGAGAGCGAAAGUCAAGAUAGCAAUGACGCUUCGAUAUACUACUCAUGAGAUUUGUGGAANGNAAUAGAUUUUACAUACUAAUCUAUUAGAGAAACCAUAUUUCCACCGGAGUAAAGCUAUCCUCCUAAAUCUUACGUAAAUUGNGCUAAUAUCUGAACUUGGUAACCCCUUUAUCUUCAGCUAUAAAUUAAGCUCUUAAAAGUACUCCGCGGUUCUUUAAGUUAUUACUUAUUUAUAGAAGAGGCAACAUAUAANAUUUAUCGAAAUUGUUGUAUCNGGUAAAGGGGAAAGGANNANUNAAAAAGCAAAUGCCUAAUAUUAGAUUUCAAUUGAAGUAAAUCUAUAUUACNGAUAUAGUUAAAUANUAAUAAUUUU
rnacentral:rRNA from 1 species